ensembl:lncRNA
CUCUUUAUUUCUUUGCCAAACAUUACUGAGUUCCAAUAUGAAAAUGAUCAGAGGUAACAUAUUUAGUUGUAAGAGGAUUUGAAAGAUUGCUACUUCGGAUCAGGUUCAAGCUGUAUGACUUUGUUAUUGCACAGUAACUGUUACAUGAAAUACUUGCUGAUACAAUUUUUCUCCUUUAAGCACCUCCAGAUGACAAUCGCUACAUUAGAAACCAACAUAUCUGCCUCCAGUAAACCACUGGUCAACAUGGCUGCUGGGUCAAACCUUACAUCAUCUGCAGAAAGGAUACCAAACAUCUCAUGGACCAUGGGCUCUGGCCAAUCGUCUGGAGUCACGGCACCAUCUAGUAAAACACCACCAAGAACAAUGUCCUCCAGCCAAUCACCAGGGAACACAGCACCAUCCAAACACUCACAAACCAGCCCUCUAACAGUCAGCCAAUUCCCAACGGCAUCAACAUCACCUUCUCAAUCACUCCAAAGCAGAACAGAAAACAGCUCAGUAUCAUCUGGUCAAUCACCAGCUGAGAAAACACUAUCUAACCAAUCAAGAACAAGUACAGUACCCACCAGUCAGUUAUCAAACUCAGCAUCAGCUGUCCUAUCACAGGGCAGCACAGCACAAACAAACAAUUCUGCAAUCAAUACAGAUUCAUCCAAUCAGUCACCAACAAUGUCAGUGCCAUCUAAAAAUUCACAAACCAGCUCACCACCAGGCAGCCAAUCACCAACCAGCUCAGCAUCGACUAGUCUAUUACAAAGCACAACAGAACAAAAUAGACAUUCACCAAGCAGCAUGGCACAAAACGGCCAAUCGCCUGGUAGCACAGCACCAUCCAGUUACCAAUUGGGUUCUCAAUCACCAACUGGGAAAACAUUAUCUGACCAAUCACAAAAUCACAAAAGUCUAGUACCAGCCAGUCAAUCAUCAAACGCAUCACCAACAGCUAUGCCGUCACAGGCCAGCCUGGCACAAACAAGUCAAUCACCAAUCAGCACAGCAUCAACUAGCCUGUUACAAGGCAGCACGGAACAAAACAGCCACUCAUCAAGCAGCACAGCUGCAUCCAGUCAGUCUCUAACCAGGAAAACACCUUCUUAUCAGUCACAUGCCAGCCCAAUACUAGCCACUCAAACACCAAGCGUGCCAGCAUCAACGAGCCCAUCACAAGGUAGAACAGAACACACUAAACAAUUAUCAGGCAGCACAGCAACAGCCAGUCUAUCUCCAGCUGAGAAAGCACUAUUUAACCAAUCACAAAACAGACUGGAACCAGCUAAUCGAUCACCAUCCCAAUCAGCAUCAGCUAGCUCAUCUCAAGGCAGUAUAGCUCAAACCAGCCAACCACUAACAACCACACCAAUAUAUAAAAAAUCUUCAUCCUCUGCGAUAAAAUCCAACAAAUUGCCAGGAAGCACAACAUUAUACAGCCAGUCAACAACUGUAACAAAAGAACUCAAGUCACAAAAUGAACCAUCAAUGACUACAGUGAUAGCACCUAGUCAGUCAUCAGGCAGGUCAACACCAACCAGCCAAUCAACAAGCAGGACAUCAUUAGCUAAAAAAUCAUCAAAAAAGGCACUGGCUAACCAGUUAAUCUGGCUAACCAGCACAACAAGUUCUAGCCAAUCACCAAGCAGCACCACACCAGUCAAGAAUUCAUCUUUUGUUAAUGCACCCACUAGGAUCAUAUCUGAUCAAUUAAAAGGCAUGGGUACAAAAUCUAGCAAAACAACACAAAGCCAAUUGAAAGCUGUCUCAGAAUUGUUAAAUCAAUCGCUAAACACUCCAGAUAAUCAGACCAUGCUCACCUUAAAUACUUCACAAUACUUAUCAUACAGCUUACCGCCUAAUAAUCAGUCAGGGUCAAAUUCAGCGCCAUAUGAACAAUUUCUGACCAGCUCAGUAACAUCAAAUCAAUCUGGUUCAGUGUUACUUGGAAAAACCAACAAUGGAGCCAUUUCAACAGAGCAGCAUCCAGUUAAUACUUCACUGCUGACCAGGCAGGUGAAGGAAGCCCUGAGGUCAUCGUUUCGUAGGAUUCCAGGGGAGCCCUGUGCAUUUCCUUGCCUGAACGGAGGACAAUGUGUUCAGUCAGAGUCAUGUGACUGCAGCUUGUAUCAGGCUACUGGACACAGAUGUCAGACAGGUAAACCCUGACAACACUCCUCGUUCGCUCCUUUUUUA